ACUGUGUCCUGACACAUCGUCAGGACAUAGUGCGCACUUACGUGCACUAUGACCUGAUGCUGUGUGACGUCAGGAUGACAGUGCAGCGCGCGGAGAAGAAGAUGGACGAGCUGUGGAGCGGCACCCCUACAAGAAAGGUAAGUAUUUUUUU